rnacentral:lncRNA from 1 species
UUUUUUUGUUUUGUUUUGUUUUUUUUUGGUACAAGGCUGCACCCGCAGCAUAUGGAGGUUUCCAGGCUACAGGUCAAAUUGGAACUGUAGCUGCCUGUCUACACCACAGCCACAGCAAGUUGGGAUCCAAGCCUCAUCUGCAACCUACACCACAGCUCACAGCAAUGCCAAAUCCUUAACCCACUGGGAGAGGCCAGGGAUUGAACAUGUGUCUUCAUGGAUACUAGUCAGAUUUGUUUCUGCUGAGCCAUGAUGGGGAACUCCAGAAAUUUUAUUUCUAAAGUGAAUGGUAUUUGGAUUUUUAGAGGCCAGAUGUAGAUUUGUAUAGGUUUAAAGAGUGGCUUCAGAAAUAGUCUUAUAAUAUUAAAACUUUUUUUCUGAACAUGUUAAUCUUUAAAUAAUUUCUGUUGCUUUUUAAAAGUAUGCAGUUAAUUAACUGUACACAGUGAAGCAGCUGCUGCCAAUUCUACCAGGACGCCUUGAAAAUGAUUUCCAUCUUCAUUUCUGAACAGUGAGGACCCAUAUCAAGCUAGAAAAGGCAAUUUUCCAGACUGACAUUUUGCUUCUUUGGAAAUGUCCUUGUUGCCUCUGUGCCCGUCAUUCAGAACAGACUUAAGAUUAGCUGUCUGUACCCUGUCUCAUCUCCUAGCACUUUCAUUUACAAAUAUUUGAAGAUAAAUGAGUGUACAUGCCAAGAGACCCCUUGAAAAUAAUUUGUAGGAACUACACAAGGUAUGUGGGAAAGGGAUUUUGUGGCAUAAAGAAAAAGGAAAAUAACUACACCUGAAAUCACUCUAUGUAGUUUCACAUGGCAUUAUAGUGAGAUACACACCUGUUAAAGGGGAAGAGAUGAUGUUUUCAAGGACCCCUCAAAUCUCUUAAAUGUAAAGUGUGAUGUGUUUCUGGUCACUUACAAAAAUCCCCAGGUAUGGAAAUGAGUUGAGAAAAGUAGAUUUCUGGUGAACUUCUGAUGAGUUGCAAGCAGAUAGCAAGUUUUAAAGUAGCCUCAUAGAUGGGUUUUUCGAAACCUAUGACUCUGUGAAAACAUUUGGAAUUUUCAAAGAAGGCUGUAGAAAUUUAACCAUAGGUUUUGAGUCAGAACAUGUGGCUAAGGGUCUGGAUUCAGUCAUUUAAUAGCUAUUUAAGAGUACUUGCUUCCUCUACUUAGGGACUGUCAUCAAAGAAAAGACUUGAAAAAAUGAUGUCUAACGUUAUUCACAGUACAAAUCAUAAAUGAUCAGACAUAGUAUAAGGUAUUAUUAUUUGUUUCAGCCCUUUUAUGCAUAGAGAUAAAAAUUUGUUUUAACCUACUCUCGGUUUUUCCUUCAUUUAUAUACCCAAAUUUAUAAAUAUAUGUAACCUAUCUGAAAACUACCGUUGAUCUAAAGUAUGUAUGACAUUUACACAAUAUUACUUUUUAUCAAAAUCUUAUAUGCACUUAUAUUUACUUUCACUCUCAGUUCCUUCCUUCAACCCAUACUUUAUGCUCAUAAAUAUUAAGAAGAUGGGCCAGGAGGAUGUGCUUAGCAGCACCAAUAAAACCAGCUGUGGCAAGACACAUAUGGUUCUGGAAAAUGAUGGCAGCUGGGAGCUCUCACUUUCUUUCAAUGAAUUUUUACUCACUAUUAUCUAGAGGGUGCAUCCUCUUUGAAAUGGUUACAUUAUUUACAAGAAAAAAAAUGACUGCAUGUUAAUUUCGUAACAGGAAAAGGAUAAUUUUGGUAAUUCUCCUACCUUUUUUUAAAAAGCUUUGAUUAUAAAAGAUGGCAUAAACGUGCAUAUAAGAAGUUUUGAGAAAUUUAAUUGACUAUUUUACUUACAAUCGGUUAUUAAAGAAAAUAAAAGUGCUUUGGAAAUGUAUCGUUAAGUUUUUUUGUACUGAAUGUGCAUAGGUCAAAUCUCCACAAGUGAUUUCUCCUUUCUACACAUACAGUAGUAUGAGGAGCAAACCGCAGGUCUAUUCCAGUAAGGUAAUUCUGUGAUAAUACGUAUAUGGAUCUAUAUAUAUAAAACAACUUCUCAGAUUUCAUAAUACAGUUAUCCUUCUUAGGAACAUUUGCAAAUCUAAGCUUAAUUCUCCCUCCAGGAAACCUGGGCAUUCCCUGUAUUGCUGUGACCUCAAUGAAACUAAAGGCACUACUCCUAACCUGUCAGUGACCAGUGGGAUGAUAGUCACUUCUUUUUAUCACAUUUUAGUUCCACAGAUAAUAGUUCCACCAUUUCUAACAUGGCUUUAAUGUCAAAUAUUAUUUCGGAAUAUAAAUCCCAAGAAACAAUUUUAUGUUUCUUGGUUUUACUUACGAGUGCUUCAAGUACAUGAAGACUGUAGCAUGAUGACAGUAAAGUAAACUGUUUUUAGACAUCCAUUUCUUCAGCAAAUAAUCUAUCCUCUCCUUAUUCCAAAUUGUGACUAUCAUAUUAGAAAAAUGCUAUAGUGCCUCUUGUCUCUAGAGAGCUUCAGAUAAAGGAAUAGAUAUACAUUUUCAAUGGUACAAUGAUCAAAAGGUAAAAACAUAAUUUUGAAAACUAAAUAUGUAGACGAGUUUGAGGACAGAAUGGGGACUAUACUGAUGCAUGAGUCAGGUGAAAAAAUUUCUGAAGUUCCUAUUAUCUUCAAAUUUCUUUAAAAUAUCUAUUCUCAUCUCAUGGCAAAAGGGCUCCAUAAGAGUAAAAUGAACAAAGAAUAAAUGAAAGGGAUUAAGGUAGGAAGAAAAAGAUACGUGUAUAUAUAAGUAGGCUUAUUAUAAUAGAGAUGAGAUUAGAUCAACAAAUAUUUGACAGCUAUAUCAGGAUGAAAAUAUACUAUUUAGGGAGUUCCCGCUGUGGCUCAGUGGGAACAAACACAACGAGUAUCCUUGAGGAUGCGGGUUUGAUCCCUGGCCUCGCUCAGUGGGUUAAGGAUCUGGCAUUGCCGUGAGCUGUAGUGUAGGUUGCAAACGCAGCUUGGACCCCUGAGUUGCUGUGGCUAUAGUGUAGGCCAGCAGCUACAGCUCUGGUUUGACCCCUAGUCUGGGAACUUCCAUAAGUCACAGACGUGGCCCUAAAAAGCGAAAAAAAAAAAAAAAAAAGCUAUUUAAAAUGCUAAAUGCCAAAUAAAGUGAUGCCCUAACAGAAAAUUGCAGCAAGUAAAUAAAACAUCAAUGUGUAUUCCCACCACCACUUUAGGCAAAAUCAGGAAAACUUUUAUAAUUCAAAUAUUAACCGUGAGGGCAAAUAUAAUAGGCCACUACUAAUCAUUAAUUCUUUGAUGUGAAUUAGAUUAUCAUUUUUAUAAUUGUCACUUACAAAACCUUAAAAAAGUGGGGGGCGGGGAUUCAAUAAAGUAAGCUGGAGAUGAUGGAGGGCAGAGGCCCAGUGCACUAGCUGCUGCCCUGGACUGCUGCUCCGUGUAGGGGAUGUGAGGCUGGCCUGGGAGGCAAGGCUGCUGGGAAGCACGUCCCCUGGGUCAUUUUGCUUGGGGCCAUUCCUUAGAGAUGCCAUUUUGCUGAGAGGGGGAGGGGACCCCUUUGGGAAUUUAUAAAGGCAAAUACUUGCCAUUCUAAAUUAUUCUUUAAACCAUCAUCUUUUAUUUCCACACAAAGGACAAGAUAACCUUACUUCCUCUUUAGACAUUUCUGCUCCAAAGUUUGAGGAGAAAUAUGCUAUUUUUCAAGAGAUACACAGGGAUUUAUAUGUUUCAAACGUGAUGAGUUUUUAGAUCUAAAGAGGGUAAAAUUUUCUCUUCUCCUCCUUCAUAAAUUCCCAAAAGUACAGAAAGCAAAUUUGUAUUUGACUUGCUAUAUUCUAAUAUAUACCAACAACUGAAGCAAAGUCAUUAUAAAGUAAUACUUAAGAAAGGUACAGAAUUAGACUUAAUCUCAGAAGUUUAGAAUGUGAAAAAAUCUAAUAAGAAAUUUAAAAAAAAAGCCUCAUCUUUUUUUCAAGGACAUAUAUUUUAUUCACAUAUGACCUUUCCAAGAAAGAAUAAAAGAUCUUGUAAAAUGAGAGACUAUUAUAGGAGUUCCCAUCGUGGCUCAGUGGUUAAUGAAUCCGACUAGGAACCAUGAGGUUGUGGGUUUGAUCCCUGGCCUUGCUCAGUGGGUUAAGGAUCUGGCAUUGCCAUGAGCUGUGGUGUAGGUCACAAACACGGCUUGGAUGCUGUGUUGUUGUGGUUGUGGCAUAGGCUGGCGGCUAAAACUCUGAUUCGACCCCUAGCCUGGGAACCUCCAUAUGCCACAAUGUGGCCCUAAAAAGCAAAAACCAAAACAAAACAAGAAAACAAAACAAAACAAAAAUUCUAGAGGCAAAAUUCCUGGUACAGCCUUUGGAAGAACAGAGUUCCUUGAGAAUAAGGUUUGAGAACCCCUGCCUUAUCCUGAUUAUCUAUUACCUAGGGCAUGUAAGAGUCAGCACAAUAAGUGGUGCGGGCACUGGAUGCUGGCUUUAAUUCUGCCCUAUGUGCCUAAUUCUGCCCAUUGUGACUAUGUGACCUAGGGAAAGUUACUUCACUCUGGCUUCAGUUUCCUUAUCUGUCAAGUAAGGGAACUAGGUUAGAUGAUUUUCAAGGUACAUUUCACAGUCUGCUGGGGCUGCCAUAACAGAGUACCAGAGUCUGGGUGCUCAAACUGCAGACAUUUAUUUCUCCCAGUUCUGGAGGCUGGGAGGUCCAAGGUCAAGGAGCUGAGUGAUUUGGUUCCUAACGAAGGCUCCCUUCCUGACUUUCAGGUGGCUGCUUUCUUGCGCUGUCCUAACAUAGUGGAGAGAGGGGGAAGGCUAAUUCUUUCUAGUCUCUUCUUAAAAAGAGACUAAUCCAAUUGCAUCAGGGCCCUACCCUUAUGACCUCUCUUAACUUUAAUCAGCUCCAUAAAGGCCAUGUCAUAUUAUCUCUGUCCUACUGUAUAAGUACUACACUGAUCCAAAAAGCAAAUUAUUAUUUUUCUCCCUAGAAUUUCUUAUUUGUUCCUAAUUGAGUAUCUCAUAAUUGAAUAUCUGCUAUCCAUCAGACAUAAUGGAGUAUAUGUUAUCCUAGGUUUGGGAAAUUACCCAUAAACAACAACAAAAAAAUGACAAAAAUACACUUUCACAUGGAGCUCAUACACUACUGGGGAGGCAGACAAUGAAUGAGAAUAAAAUAUAUAAUAUGCUAGUUAUAUAUGCUAGCUAUAUAGGCUAGCCUAUGCUGUGCUAGAUAAUAUUAAGAGUCAAAGAACCAAAGAAAUGCAGAAAAGGGAUCAUUAAAUGCUGGCAUAGGGGGAUUUGGAAUUUAGACUGUAGAGAAAAUGAGAGAAGUAUUCAGCUAUGUUGAUAUGUGAGAGGAUGUUCUAAGCAGGCGGACGGGUAAUUAUCAAAGGAUUGGAGGUAGGCUGACUGGAAGAGGGACAGGAUCUGACUCGUCUUAACAAGAUCACUCCAAUGAGUGUUGAGCAUAGUUUGGAGGGAGCAAAGAAGGAGAGGGACCAGAUAGGAGGCUACCAUCAUGGUUCAAGUCAGAGGUAAGGGCUUAAACCUAUGUGGCAGCAGUGAAGGUGCUGCGAGGUAGCCAAAUUCUCCAAAUACUCUGAAAAUAGAGAUGGGAGAAUUUGCUCUUAUUUUAAAUUCUGUAUUUCUGACCAGACCUAGCAAAUUUAUCUUUAAUUCCAUUAUGUUUCCUACGAAAUUAGCUAUAGCUCUCUAGUUUAUGUUUUCAGCAUCUGUCAUAAACAUAACUUCUAUUUUUGUUUAGUGUUCCUACAAAUCUCAAAUGGGCUCAGGUCAUGAAUAUACCGCUGCACCAGCACAAAUUACCUCCAUUUUUAAAUGCUAAUAAUUCAUUAUCCUUUGAAUAAUGGCUGUACAUCCAACAGUCACAGCAAGUUCACUUUGGCUCUUGUCAUUUUAGUUUGUCAUUGCCAACCAUCUUCCACGUGUACCAGGUCUGGUGCUAGGCCUAUGGGGAGGGGGAGAGCAUUCACCUCUAAUUCUCCUGAAGAAGUGCUAAAAUUCUGGUAAGGGGUGGGCAAAAUAGAACAAGUGGUUGGAUGUGGUCUGCAUUUUAUGGAAAUGGACUAAUUAGGCUGUGUGACCACAAGUCAAAGAGGGCAUGGAUAUGACACUGAUGAUGUGGCUGGAGUCAGGAGUGAAAAUUCUAGUUGACAUGCUGGGGACUGGCUUUAUUUAGUGAGAAGACUGAGAGCUGUAGGAGGCAACAGGUUAUGGAAUGGCAAGGCUGUACCUGCGAUGUAGAACACAUCCCAGGAGGCAGCACAAGGAAAAGUUUGAAAGGCUAGAAGCCAGAUAGGUUAGUGUGGCUCCUGCUCAGGUGAGAGGUAGGCUACCAUGGGGAUGAUACAAGGGGCUGGUGUUAGAUCUGAAAGCAAAGCUG